GGCCCAAGCGACUGUUUAUCAAAAACACAGGUCUCUGCUAAACCGUAAGGUGAUGUAUAGGGGCUGACGCCUGCCCGGUGCUGGAAGGUUAAGAGGAGUGGUUAGCUUCUGCGAAGCUACGAAUCGAAGCCCCAGUAAACGGCGGCCGUAACUAUAACGGUCCUAAGGUAGCGAAAUUCCUUGUCGGGUAAGUUCCGACCCGCACGAAAGGCGUAACGAUUUGGGCACUGUCUCAACGAGAGACUCGGUGAAAUCAUAGUACCUGUGAAGAUGCAGGUUACCCGCGACAGGACGGAAAGACCCCGUGGAGCUUUACUGUAGCCUGAUAUUGAAAUUCGGCA
rnacentral:rRNA from 1 species